rnacentral:rRNA from 1 species
UGACCCGUCUUUGAACACGGACCAAGGAGUCUAAUUAGGUAUCGAGUCGAUCGGUCUUGAAUAGGCCAGACAGAUAUGUCUUCGUACAUAUCGAUUGAAGGCGUAGAGAAAUCAAAUCGUGUGAUCACGGCUUGGCAACUCCAGCCACCGUGCGCAACAUGUGCCUGUUCGUAUAGCAGUGUUAGCAAUAACCUGCUGGGCGGAGCAAAGAGAUACCUGAUUGGGACCCGAAAGAUGGUGAACUAUGCUUGGGCAAAUUGAAGCCAGAGGAAACUCUGGUGGAGGAUUGUAGCGAUUCUGACGUGCAAAUCGAUCGUCAGACCUGAGUAUAGGGGCGAAAGACUAAUCGAACCAUCUAGUAGCU